UUAAGCCAAGGUCCGCAAUGGUUAUCCCACCCGGGCGAUCAAGCCAAGGUCCGCAUCCCACCCAGGAGAUUAUGCCAAGGUCAGUAUCCCACCCGGGCGAUUAAGCCAAGGUCCGCAAUUAUUAUCCCACCUGGGCGAUCAAGCCAAGGUCCACAUCCCACCCGGGCGAUUAAGCCAAGGUCAGCAAUCAUUAUCCCACCCGGGCAAUCAAGCCAAGGUCCGCAUCCCACCCGAGCUAUCAAGCCAAGGGCCACAUCCCACCCCGGCAAUCAAGCUAAGGUCCGCAUCCCACCAGAGCAAUCAAGCCAAGGGCCACAUCCCACCCCGGCAAUCAAGCAAAGGUCCGCAUCCCACCCGAGCUAUCAAGCCAAGGGCCACAUCCCACCCCGGCAAUCAAGCUAAGGUCCGCAUCCCACCAGAGCAAUCAAGCCAAGGGCCACAUCCCACCCCGGCAAUCAAGCAAAGGUCCGCAUCCCACCCGAGCUAUCAAGCCAAGGGCCACAUCCCACCCCGGCAAUCAAGCAAAGGUCCGCAUCCCACCCGAGCAAUCAAGCCAAGGGCCACAUCCCACCCCGGCAAUCAAGCUAAGGUCCGCAUCCCACCAGAGCAAUCAAGCCAAGGGCCACAUCCCACCCCGGCAAUCAAGCUAAGGUCCGCAUCCCACCAGAGCAAUCAAGCCAAGGGCCAUAUCCCACCCUUGCAAUCAAGCUAAGGUCCGCAUCCCACCCGGGCAAUCAAGCCAAGGUCAACAUCCCACCCGGGCAAUCAAGCCAAGGUCAGCGAUCAUUAUCCCACCCGGGCAGUUAAGCCAAGGUCAGCAUCCCACCCGGACAGUCAAGCCAGGGUCAGCAACCCUCCCCAUUCCUCCGGGCUUGGGACCGGCUCUUAGUUGGGCUGGCUUGCCCCCCAAGAGGCUGGGUUAACAGUUUUGUUCCCCCUUUCUUCACCU